rnacentral:rRNA from 1 species
CCUACGGGAGGCAGCAGUGAGGAAUAUUGGUCAAUGGACGAGAGUCUGAACCAGCCAAGUAGCGUGAAGGAUGACUGCCCUAUGGGUUGUAAACUUCUUUUAUAUGGGAAUAAAACGUUCCACGUGUGGGAUUUUGUAUGUACCAUAUGAAUAAGGAUCGGCUAACUCCGUGCCAGCAGCCGCGGUAAUACGGAGGAUCCGAGCGUUAUCCGGAUUUAUUGGGGUUAAAGGGAGCGUAGGUGGAUUGUUAAGUCAGUUGUGAAAGUUUGCGGCUCAACCGUAAAAUUGCAGUUGAAACUGGCAGUCUUGAGUACAGUAGAGGUGGGCGGAAGUCGUGGUGUAGCGGUGAAAUGCUUAGAUAUCACGAAGAACUCCGAUUGCGAAGGCAGUUCACUGGACUGCAACUGACACUGAGGCUCGAAAGUGUGGGUAUCAAACAGGAUUAGAUACCCUGGUAGUC